UACGUAGGGUGCAAGCGUUGUCCGGAAUUAUUGGGCGUAAAGAGCUCGUAGGCGGUCUGUCACGUCGGCUGUGAAAACCCGAGGCUCAACCUCGGGCCUGCAGUCGAUACGGGCAGACUAGAGUUCGGUAGGGGGAGACUGGAAUUCCCGGUGUAGCGGUGAAAUGCGCAGAUAUCGGGAGGAACACCGGUGGCGAAGGCGGCGCUCUGGACCGAGACUGACGCUGAGGCGCGAAAGCGUGGGGAGCAACAGG
rnacentral:rRNA from 1 species